UACAGAGGUCUCAAGCGUUUGUUCGGAUUCAUUGGGCGUAAAGGGUGCGUAGGCGGCGCGGUAAGUCGGGUGUGAAAUCUCGGGCUUAACUCCGAAACUGCAUUCGAUACUGCCGUGCUUGAGGACUGGAGAGGAGACUGGAAUUUACGGUGUAGCGGUGAAAUGCGUAGAUAUCGUAAGGAAGACCAGUGGCGAAGGCGGGUCUCUGGACAGUUCCUGACGCUGAGGCACGAAGGUCAGGGGGAGCAAAACGGGGAUUAGAAACCUAC
rnacentral:rRNA from 1 species